rnacentral:misc_RNA from 1 species
GUUCUGCUUACGAGCAUGCUCUGGGAUAAGUCGAUUAACGGUAUCAGGUGGUAUGCCAGCAAGCUCCUGAGGUUUAAAAUUAAAUAAUGGAGGAAGUGGGCGGCCAUUAGGAAGGCGUGUAUUUGGGUCCCUUAACUCAUCAAAGAAGGGGUGGACACAAGCUUCCAAAGCAGUACACCGCAAAUUCGGUGAAUACUGGAAAAACCUGCAUACAAGGUCCACGGCUUCAGGAGGUAAACGUUUCUGGAAAACCUUAUGCCAGGGAUGAGGCUUAAUCUGCGGGAACUUGAACUCAGUGUAGUUUGGAUUCAUGCAUUUUAUUUCUUCUCUGGUUGGAGUCCCCAAAACCUUGAUAAUCUCAACUAGUUGGUCAACUCCA